rnacentral:rRNA from 1 species
UACGAAGGGGGCUAGCGUUGUUCGGAAUUACUGGGCGUAAAGGGCGCGUAGGCGGUACUUCAAGUCAGGCGUGAAAGCCCCGGGCUCAACCUGGGAACCGCGCUUGAGACUGGAGAACUAGAGUUCGGGAGAGGAUGGUGGAAUUCCCAGUGUAGAGGUGAAAUUCGUAGAUAUUGGGAAGAACACCGAUGGCGAAGGCAGC